rnacentral:rRNA from 1 species
AUUGAACGCUGGCGGCAGGCCUAACACAUGCAAGUCGAACGAGUGGCGGACGGGUGAGUAAUGUCUGGGAAACUGCCCGAUGGAGGGGGAUAACUACUGGAAACGGUAGCUAAUACCGCAUACCAUCGGAUGUGCCCAGAUGGGAGUAGCUAGUAGGUGGGGUAAAGGCUCACCUAGGCGACGAUCCCUAGCUGGUCUGAGAGGAUGACCAGCCACACGGGAACUGAGACACGGCCCAGACUCCUAAGGGAGGGAGCAGUGGGGAAUAUUGCACAAUGGGCGCAAGCCUGAUGCAGCCAUGGCGCGUGUAUGAAGAAGGCCUUCGGGUUGUAAAGUACUUUCAGCGGGGAGGCGUUACCCGCAGAAGAAGCACCGGCUAACUCCGUGCCAGCAGCCGCGGUAAUUC